CAUGGUUCGAAAUUGAAAGGCGGCUUCGGCUGUCACUUAUGGAUGGACCCGCGUCGCAUUAGCUAGUUGGUGAGGUAACGGCUCACCAAGGCAACGAUGCGUAGCCGACCUGAGAGGGUGAUCGGCCACACUGGGACUGAGACACGGCCCAGACUCCUACGGGAGGCAGCAGUAGGGAAUCUUCCGCAAUGGACGAAAGUCUGACGGAGCAACGCCGCGUGAGUGAUGAAGGCUUUCGGGUCGUAAAACUCUGUUGUUAGGGAAGAACAAGUGCUAGUUGAAUAAGCUGGCACCUUGACGGUACCUAACCAGAAAGCCACGGCUAACUACGUGCCAGCAGCCGCGGUAAUACGUAGGUGGCAAGCGUUAUCCGGAAUUAUUGGGCGUAAAGCGCGCGCAGGUGGUUUCUUAAGUCUGAUGUGAAAGCCCACGGCUCAACCGUGGAGGGUCAUUGGAAACUGGGAGACUUGAGUGCAGAAGAGGAAAGUGGAAUUCCAUGUGUAGCGGUGAAAUGCGUAGAGAUAUGGAGGAACACCAGUGG
rnacentral:rRNA from 1 species